rnacentral:misc_RNA from 1 species
CACGGUUGUUCACAGUUCCAAUGAUCAGCUUUUUGACGGCUGCUUCUUACUAAAUAGAAAUUAAAGAGAUCGAUAAUGGCAGCUCGUGCUGGAUGUAACUGGUAGUCGCGGGAAGCGGCUGUGGUUGCUGCUAUUGAUCUCUGCCUUUGAUCCAUGCUUUGGUUUUUUUCACUCUAUCUCAUUUGAGAUUUCGAGAACAUACGGAGGAUCCGACCUCUGGCCGGCUGGCCGCAAUAGUACGCAGGAGCGAGCAAGAGUGAACGAAGAGCAGUGAACAAGAAUGCCGCAGUUGGAAGUCAAGACUCCAGGCUCG